rnacentral:lncRNA from 1 species
UGGACUUAUGAUGAUUUUGAAUCAUUGAGUGUUGAAGUGAUAAACCACUUAAUGAGACGGAAACUGACUUCACCUUUGUGUCCCUAUCCUUAUGGUUCACUAAGUUUAUUGUAAACUAUAUAGUGAACAAUAACCACAUGGUCUCCAAAAUGUUUGAUGUGUAUAACACAAGUGAAAUAAGUUUCAAGAGAGAUAGUGGGAGUUUAGGGACCAUGACUAUUUUAGUCAAAGGAGAAGUCAAAUGAAGAAGAUUAAAAUUAACUCCUAGGGAACAAACUUUCUUUAUGAAAGGAUGGACAUUGGAAAGGGUAUUUGCAAGAAAUGUCUUGUAAGUGUCAAGAACACACCUUUCGAAGGUGUUGUAAAUUGUUCUUGAAUAGUUCAAAACAGUUGGUUCUUCUACUUGAAUGCUUGAUUCCGUAUUAGUAACUAUGUUUUACAAUCGUUGUAAAAGUGUGACUAAUAAGAAGUAGAAGAUUAAUGAGAGAAGAGAAAGUACUUCACAUUCGAAACGUGAAUCAAAUGUAGAUCUUUGUGAAAGCAGAUGGUACUUACUUCCUCAUAUGAACUACCAAAGAAAUUGGAAAAACAUAGAUUGUCUUUAUAUUCCAAUUUUAAGGAACUAAAUUCCGUCACUAUGUGAAAUGGAUAAAUAUUUUGUUUGACAAAACAUUGUUCUUUAUUAAUCAAUGAUUGGAUUAUGGUAAUCUAAUUGAUUGUCUCUAUAAGUAGAGAUGAUAUGGUAGUGUUAACUGUUUAGAAUAUAAUGAUGCUUAAAACCCAAAAGGUUGCAAGAUAGUGACUAAUCCCAACUAAAGUUGUGAUACCUCUAAAAACAUAAAUUAUGAGUUGGUCAUAGAUGGACGCUUUGGAUCGUUAGAUCCGGAUCCAAUACCUUCUUGUUAAAAUUGUAUAGAGGCGAAAUGUUUGAAUCUUUAUU